rnacentral:rRNA from 1 species
UACAGAGGGGGCAAGCGUUGUUCGGAAUUACUGGGCGUAAAGGGCGCGUAGGCGGCCCGCUAAGUCGAACGUGAAAUCCCCGAGCUCAACUCGGGAACUGCGUCCGAUACUGGCGGGCUUGAAUCCGGGAGAGGGAUGCGGAAUUCCAGGUGUAGCGGUGAAAUGCGUAGAUAUCGUAAGGAAGACCAGUGGCGAAGGCGGGUCUCUGGACAGUUCCUGACGCUGAGGCACGAAGGC